rnacentral:lncRNA from 1 species
GUAAACAGACGUGAUAUGAUAGGAGCAGACGCUUCCAACGUGUGUACACAGUUGGGUUUGGUGUCUCAUGUUCUUGCCAUUUGUCAUGACAACAGGCCCCUGAUUGCUGAUGUUUCAGGGAGAAUGUGGAGAAAAGGAGACUAGAUCUGAGCCUAUAGAAACCUGGAACCAAACCUGGGACCUGCAGACAGACACAUAAGCAAGAAAAGCAAAUGAAUCUAGGGGUGGCUUGUUGUGCAGCAUUACUAUGGCAAUAGCUGACUGAUACACCUCUCUAUGGGGAAAGUCAUCCAGCUCAAGAGGGAUAUUUCUAGGCACUGGUGGGUGAUAGAGGGAGCACUGGCCCAUAGACUGGGAAGCCACCCAGGCUGCAAGAGUGGGCCUGGCAGGAAUAGGCCCAGGGACUCAGAUGCCCAGAGGAUUCAUUUCAUGGCUCAACUCUGGCUCAAGGAGCUGGAAGGACAGAAGCCAGAGGCAGUUUUUUUUUUUUUUUAAGUUCCGUUCUACCAAACUGAGCAAAAAAAUCUAUCCACCACUGACCAGUUCUCAGCUGAAGAAGAACUUUGUUCUAAAAAGUGAGGGCUGCUGCUAGUCCUCUUCCACCAGAUGGAGCUGCUACUAGUCCUCAUCCACCAGAUGGAACGCUGAGAAGCUACAACAUUCUGUUCUACCCUCGGAUCCCUUCUGACCCAGACCCAUAAGCCAGUCUUGAAGUCCUUGCUGAAGGUAGAAAGUUCCUGCAGGGAAUCAGGAAGAUGGGGGAGGGGGUCACUACUGUGUCCUCUGCUGCUUGGACAGCAGUUCUUGGGCAGUAGCACAGCGGCUGGGGGUUCGAUGACUGUGCUCUUCUUGGGGUCAGGAGUGGGCAGCGGGGGACUGUGUGGCAGAGAGGGUAGAGCCUUUUCCUUACCCACCCCCAGCCAGCAGUGCCUUGAUGCAGAGGGGUAGAACCCUGGCCGGCCUUUUAAUUCUGCUUGCUCAGCUCUGGAGUCCCCACUGUUUGCACAUGGUUGACCGAUGCCUUUCCUUUUCAGACCUGUCUUGAAUGUCUAUACCCCUUUUUACGUCUUUAUUGGUAUUUUAAGGAGGGGGGGGUCUUAUAAUGGACCUGAUAGGAUGUCACUUAAGUUGGAAGUGUCUGUCCUUGAUUUUAAAAGAAAUUUCCUGAGGUGCUGUGGGCUCCUAAUAAGGGAGGCA